AAUAUUUCAAGAGUCAUCGAAUGGCGAUCGUUUUUAGUGAGACAUUUUGCAUCCACGUGAAAUCCCAUAGAAUUUUGAGAAGGUCCCAUAACCUGCAGGUACAUCUAGUUUGGUGAUAUUAUAUAUUCCUGAUAUAUUAAGUGCGUCGUUCCGUUUCUUCACAACGGAUGACAAUUUUGUGAGGUUAUGUCGCGAUGGCCCUUCCAACAACGAAAGCCAUGGCCGGGACUCUGUUUCUUCUACGGUACGUGUUACGUAUCUCAAGACGCCAAGAUUCCUGUCAGCAACACACUCAACUGGGGACGACGCAAAGGGCUUCCAUGAGCCGUGGAUGCUCUCCAGGAGGUUAUGAUACCCUUGUAGGACAGGCUGAAUCCUGUUUGAAACCUGCUCGAGCAUGACCGACUCAUAAAGGAGUUCCUCUUAGUUUGGUAUCAAAUGGCUGCCAAACGAUGGACGGUGGACAAAUGGACGAAUGGAUGUACCAGAGAGAAAUCCAAGGAAGCUGAAACAAUCUUCGGUACCAUGGACCGAUCGACCUUGCUUUCGGCCAACCUGAUGCUUUCAAGGGGAUUAACGAAGGGCGGACGAUUAGGCACUCAUGAGGGAUCUUACUAUGGUGCAACGAGUACAUGGGAGGACACCAUAAGGAUUCAGGAACCUUGGAGACGACACAGCUUGAUCACUGGGUUUUUAUACAUUACACGACUGUUACAGUAGAUACUCGAUUGGAGGUUUUACAAUU